UACAGAGGUCUCAAGCGUUGCUCGGAUUCAUUGGGCGUAAAGGGUGUGUAGGUGGCGCCGUAAGUCAGGUGUGAAAUUUCGGAGCUCAACUCCGAAACUGCAUUUGAUACUGCGGUGCUUGAGGACUGGAGAGGAGACUGGAAUUUACGGUGUAGCAGUGAAAUGCGUAGAGAUCGUAAGGAAGACCAGUGGCGAAGGCGGGUCUCUGGACAGUUCCUGACACUGAGGCACGAAGGCCAGGGGAGCAAACGGG
rnacentral:rRNA from 1 species